rnacentral:rRNA from 1 species
UACGUAGGGUCCGAGCGUUGUCCGGAAUUACUGGGCGUAAAGAGCUCGUAGGUGGUUUGUCGCGUUGUUCGUGAAAACUCACAGCUCAACUGUGGGCGUGCGGGCGAUACGGGCAGACUGGAGUACUGCAGGGGAGACUGGAAUUCCUGGUGUAGCGGUGGAAUGCGCAGAUAUCAGGAGGAACACCGGUGGCGAAGGCGGCUCUCUGGACCACUACUGACGCUGAGGCGCGAAAGCUAGGGGAGCAAACAGG